rnacentral:rRNA from 1 species
CCUACGGGAGGCAGCAGUGGGGAAUAUUGGACAAUGGGCGAAAGCCUGAUCCAGCAAUGCCGCGUGUGUGAAGAAGGUCUUCGGGUUGUAAAGUACUUUCAGCGGGGAGGAAGGGAGUAAAGUUAAUACCUUUGCUCAUUGACGUUACCUACAGAAGAAGCACCGGCUAACUCCGUGCCAGCAGCCGCGGUAAUACGGAGGGUGCGAGCGUUAAUCGGAAUUACUGGGCGUAAAGCGCAUGCAGGCGGCCUGUUAAGUCAGAUGUGAAAGCCCGGGGCUUAACCUCGGAAUUGCAUUUGAAACUGGCAGGCUAGAGUCUUGUAGAGGGGGGUAGAAUUUCAGGUGUAGCGGUGAAAUGCGUAGAGAUCUGAAGGAAUACCAGUGGCGAAGGCGGCCCCCUGGACAAAGACUGACGCUCAGAUGCGAAAGCGUGGGGAGCAAACAGGAUUAGAUACCCGAGUAGUC